rnacentral:rRNA from 1 species
UACAGAGGUCUCAAGCGUUGUUCGGAUUCAUUGGGCGUAAAGGGUGUGUAGGUGGCGCGCUAAGUCGGGUGUGAAAUUUCGGAGCUUAACUCCGAAACUGCAUUCGAUACUGGCGUGCUUGAGGACUGGAGAGGAGACUGGAAUUCAUGGUGUAGCAGUGAAAUGCGUAGAGAUCAUGAGGAAGACCAGUGGCGAAGGCGGCUCACUGGCCCGGUACUGACGCUGAGGUGCGAAAGCGUGGGGAGCAAACAGG